AUUGAACGCUCGCGGGAUGCUUUACACAUGCAAGUCGAACGAGUGGCGGACGGGUGAGUAAUAUAUCGGAACGUGCCCAGUAGCGGGGGAUAAAUACUCGAAAGAGUGGCUAAUACAGCAUAAUAUUUGAGCGGCCGAUAUCGGAUUAGCUAGUUGGUGGGGUAAAGGCUCACCAAGGCAACGAUCCGUAGCUGGUUUGAGAGGAAGACCAGCCACUCUGGAACUGAGACACGGCCCAGACUCCUACGGGAGGCAGCAGUGGGGAAUGUUGGACAAUGGGGGAAACCCUGAUCCAGCCAUCCCGCGUGUAUGAGAAGGCCUUCGUGUUGUAAAGUACUUUUGGCAGAGAAGCGGUAUCUGCAGAAUAAGCACCGGCUAACUACGUGCCAGCAGCCGCGGUAAUAC
rnacentral:rRNA from 1 species